CAAUAGCGUAUAUUAAAGUUGUUGCAGUUAAAAAGCUCGUAGUUGGAUUUCUGGUUCCGCUUGCGGCGGUCCGGCCUUAUUGGUCUGUGUACCGCUCGCAUGCAGCCAUCCUUCCGGGGAGCGCGUCUACCCUUCACUGGGCCGGACUGUGCGACCUGGAUCGUUUACUUUGAAAAAAUUAGAGUGUUUAAAGCAGGCUUACAGCUCUGAAUACAUUAGCAUGGAAUAAUAAGAUAGGACUCUGGUCCUAUUUUGUUGGUUUCUAGGACGAGAGUAAUGAUUGAUAGGGACAGUUGGGGGUGCUCGUAUUGAACGGCCAGAGGUGAAAUUCUUGGAUUCGUUCAAGACGAACUACUGCGAAAGCAUUCGCCAAGGAUGUCUUCUUUAA
rnacentral:rRNA from 1 species